UACGGGGGGAGCAAGCGUUGUCCGGAAUCAUUGGGCGUAAAGAGCUCGUAGGUGGUUUGUCGCGUUGUUCGUGAAAACUCACAGCUUAACUGUGGGCGUGCGGGCGAUACGGGCAGACUUGAGUACUGCAGGGGAGACUGGAAUUCCUGGUGUAGCGGUGGAAUGCGCAGAUAUCAGGAGGAACACCGGUGGCGAAGGCGGGUCUCUGGGCAGUAACUGACGCUGAGGAGCGAAAGCGUGGGGAGCGAACAGG
rnacentral:rRNA from 1 species